rnacentral:lncRNA from 1 species
GAUGGCCUGGGGCUGGGUGCUCAGUUGCCUCCACAGCCUGGAGCAAGGCAGCCAAUCAUUAACCCGCCAGAGCUGCAGGGCGCACGCGUCUCCCCAGGGCAGCUGGGUGGCCAGGCUGUCUCUGGGCUUAGAUGUACUUGGCUCGGGUACACUGGGCAGCUGCUCUGCUCUGGGUAAAAGCGCAGGGAUCCUCCUGCGCUGGUGGUUGGGGUCUCCCAGCAGGUCAGGCCCACCUCCCCCCCUGGAGAGUUGGCACCUUUGCUGGGGCUGUACCAGGAAGCCCUCCUCAAUGGCACCUGGGCCGCCUCUGGCCUCUAGGUCCUUCUGCUUGGCUUCCGGCUAGUCCCUGCUGGGCUGCCUGCUCAGAGAGGCCUUCCUGGGUCACCCUCACCCUACCCCAUGCCCUGCUCCUUUCCUAGUACUCCGGCCUCUGGGUCGCCAGCAACCCCUGCCCUGAUGUGUCCAGCCCCCAAGCCUCCUCAUCAUCUGGUUCCCUCAGGGCCUUCCCAUCUCCAGGGUCUGGAGCUGCCCUGGCUCUCAGAGGGCACUCAGAAGAGAGCUGGGGCCCGAAGUGGGCAGGGAGGACGGAGGACAGAGGGGUCCUUCUGCCCCAACUCUGGCCUCAGAGCCCUGGGUCCGAGGCACCAGCCAGUCCUUUUUUGUAAAGCUGGGUUGGGACCCAGGACCUGCUUGGAAUUCUCAGGGGGAGGGAGGGGCUGGGGGGGGGUGGUCACGAGGCCGGCGGUGGCACCAGCAUCCGGAAGUUUGGGUUGGGAGCCAGGCUUCGACAGCCAUCUUGAGCCCCAGCGAGUAAGGCAGGGCGGGCCUGAGGGCUGCCGGCCUUCCGCCCAGCGUGGGUGGGGGCACGGUCUGAUGGCCUGGCCCGGCACCUGCGGGGACCCGGAGGAAGGGAGGAGAGGGGCCUCACCUGUGGGGUCUCCACCCCCAGCGCCCUCCAGGGUCCUGGUGCCGCCUGGGGCGGGGGAAGGGUGGUCCGGGCUGUCUCUGGGGCCGCUGCCAGCAGAGGCUGCUCUUCCGUGGCCUGGGCUGGGAGUUGGGGGCCGGGGCUGCUUUUCUAAAGUCCUCUCCUCUUCCCCCCUCCGGAUAGGUGGGGGCAGCAAGGGACGAGGUCACCCCCCGGAGAGGCUUCCGGAGGGGCUCCAGACCUGCGGCCCCCAGGUCUCUCCUGGCCCAGUGGUGGUGCCAACGGCCCAGCGGCUGCAGCACCUAUGCCCAGACCCUCAGCGUGGGGCCCCCGCAGGCCCCCGCACCCGCACACCUGUCAUGCACGGAAGCCUCACACACUUUAUUUCACCAGCAGUCCUUUGUGUCUGCGAUAGAAAGGCCACCUUGGGGUCCCGGGGCGCCCCGGGUCAGGGCCACGGGGGCUGGGAGGUCAUGGGGUGGCCUGUGCCCUGGGGGCCCACGAGGGCCUGGGCCUGGGCAAGAGUGCACUGUCGGUUCAGGGCCACUGCUGGGUCCGAUGGGCCCCUGGCCUCCCCUCCACGCGGCAUCUGGCGAGGGGCCCUCCUCGGGCGGCAGUCGGGCCAGGAAUGGGGUAUUUUCUAAUGUACCAUUCCUAGUGUCAUCUCUUUAAUUAUGUUUUUAAAUUAUUUUCUUAGUUGCUGCCCUCAGGAUUACCGUUAAUAUCUUAAGUUGUAACAAUCUCUUUCAGAUUAAUACCAAGUUUUUGUUUUUGUUUUUUUUCUUUUUUUGUCUUUUUAGGGCUGCACCCCCGCAGCACUUGGAGGUUCCCAGGCUAGGGGUCAAAUCGGAGCUGCAGCUGCCGGCCUACACCACAGCCACAGCAACACCGGAUCCGAGCCGCAUCUUCGACCUCCACCACAGCUGUCGGCAACGCCGGAUCCUUAACCCACUGAGUGAAGCCAGGGGUCGAACCCACAACCCCAUGGUUCCUAGUUGGAUUCGUUUCCACUGCACCAGGACGGGCAAUCCAGAUGACAAUUUUUUUUCAGCAUUUUGAAUGUGUCAUCCCACUGCCUUCUGGACUCCGUGGUUUUGGAUGUGAUACUGGCUGUUGACCUCACCCAGGGUCCUUUACGACGAGUGGCUUCUGUUCGCUGCUUCCGACACUGGCUCCUGGUCUUUGUCUUUUGAAAGGUUAUGCUGUGGUGGAUCUUUUCCAUUUACCCUAGUUGGAGCUCACUGACCUUCUUGAAUGUGUAGAUUAUUUCUCAUCAAAUUUGGGGAGUUAUCUGCCGUUAUCUUCUCAAAAACUCUUCUCACCUCUGUCCCUCCUUUCUUUCUGGAUUCUCCUUCUGCUGGUCUGCUCCACGGUGCCCACAGUCUCUGCAGCUUGAUUUUCCGCCAUUCCUUUUACUUUCUUUUUCUUUUCAUCUUUUUAGGGCCACACUCACGGCAUAUGGAGGUUCCCAGGUUAGGGGUCCAAUUGGAGCUAAAGCUGACGGCCUACAACCACAGCCCACAGCAACACUGGAUCCUUAGCCCACUGAGCAAGGCCAGAGAUCGAACCUGCGUCCUCAUGGGUCUAGUCAGAUUCACUUCUACUGAGCCAUGACAGGGACUCCACUCCUUUUACUUUCUGUUCCUUAGACUGGAUAAUCUCAACUGCCUUAUCUUUCAAUAACUCACAUGUCCUGUUGUGCCUCUCUAGCGAUUUUUUAUUUCAGUUAUUGUAUGUUUCAACUCCAGAAUCUCUCUUUGGCUUCAUUUUAUAAUUUCUAUCUCUUUACUGAUAUCCCAUCUUUGGUAAGACGUGGUUCUUCUAUUUUCCUUCAGUUCUUUUCAAGUGAGGUCUUCCAAGGAACCACAGGACACAUCACCACAAAGGGCCACGAUUCUUGCCAGACAGGGACAUCCUGCUGUCUCCAGCCCUGAGCAUGCAGGCUUGGAAGUGAGGACAAAAGUAGGGCAAGUUAAACUGCUACAAAGCUUGCUGCUGUUACCAAGAGUCAAGAUUUGGCUUGAAGACACCCUCUUCGGGCCACUGAACAUCAGAGUUCCGAGAAGGUUGAUGCUGAGAGGCUGGGCCAGGUUUUGGUUGGUUGUAUGGAGCGGCUCGUCUCCAGGUGCCCUUCCUCUGCCAGUUGUGCGAUGCCCUCCCUGUCUUUCUUGAACCUGCUCCACAUGGCUUCUCCCUGCUGUUUCCCUGAAAUGCUUGCGAGGCUUGUCAGUGACCUCCUUGGCACCAAACCCAGAGGGCGGUCAGCUUUCUUCUCCCUGACCUGUCAGCCAACCUCAGACACAGCCCCCCACUCCCUGCGGCUUCCAGGACCUUGCCCCCUCCCUCUUAGCGCACCCCCCCCCCGCCCCGGCUUCCCACCACUGCUCUCUGGAGGCCCAGGGCUUGGCCUGAGGCUCUGCUCUUUCACCUGCACCCACUGGCGAUGGAUGUCUCCUGACUUUAAAUUCCAACUAUGUGCUUAAGAGUCCACAUCCAACAUCCAGCCCUGAUCGCUCCCCUGAACCUGAACCCUGGCCUAUAACACCCCAUCUGCAAGCUCACAGCUACCUCAGACCCCCACGGCCAUCUUCUCCUGGGCUGCCAGGGGCUCCAUCCUUCCAGAGUCUCAGACCAAACACCUGGGAAGACCCUUCCUUCCUGCUUCAUCUUCUCCAUCAGCACGUGCGGCGUCAUGCCCAGUACAAGGUGUCCGAUGGCUCAUAUGUCCCUCUUGUGUCUCUCUCCCCUGUGAGGGAGCUGCUGGAAGGCGGAGACCCCUCGUAAGCCCUCUCCACUCUCCCCCCCAGUACCUGCCACACAAGAGGAAUCCACACAUGUGCUGCAGGAUAAAACGAGAGUGAAGGGCUCUCUGUGAGCCUGAGACUCUGAAACGUGAACGUGUGGGCAGGUGUGGGAACGCAGGCGAGGGGUGUCACUGCAGCUCUCCAAGCUUGGCGAGUAUAAUCAGGGCCCACAGGUGACACCAGUGCCCCCUCCCUGCCCCACCCACAGAAACGGAUGCAGGAGAUCAUGGCCCACUGCUUCCUGGCUGUCAAAUCCAAGCUCGAGUGCAAGCUAGGCUACUUCGACCUCAUUGGCUGCGACUUCCUGAUCGAUGAAAACUUUAAGGUGCUGCUGAGGUGUCCCUCGGGGGUGGGGCCUGGCAGGCAGGUACAAGGAGCAGGGGCCCUCAGCGUGCACCCUGACCACCGAGGCGGGCACCCAGCGUGGGCAGUCAGGUGCCCUCCCUAGCCCUGGGGGUGGUGUGCAUAAGGUUUUGCUCCUCCUGCACCUGGGAAGCCCCGAAGGCCUGACCCUCAGACCCCCAGAGUCUAAGCCCCUUAGGCAAAUGGGGGACCGAGGCCAUGAAAGGGAAGCAACCUGCCCAUGUCACUUGUCUUAAUGGGGACCAGGGCCUUGGCCUCCCGCUGGCCAAGUGAUAAGCCGGGAGGGGUGCUAACCAGCGCUGGGUCCAGGUGUGGCUGCUGGAGAUGAACUCCAACCCUGCCCUGCACACCAACUGCCAAGUCUUGAAGGAGGUGAUUCCUGGCGUGGUCAUGGAGACCCUGGACCUGGCGCUUGAGACCUUCCGGAAGAGCCUGCGCAGCGAGAAGAUGCUGCCGCUGCUGACCCAGCGGCGCUUCGUGCUCCUGCACAACGGCGAGGCGGACCUGUGGCCGCGCCCCGGGGGCUCCCGCAGCGUCCCCCGCCCGCCCGCCCGCGACUCCACGGCCUCCGCGCCACCCCCGC